rnacentral:rRNA from 1 species
UACGGAGGAUGCGAGCGUUAUCCGGAUUUAUUGGGUUUAAAGGGUGCGUAGGCGGGCUUUUAAGUCAGCUGUGAAAGUUUGCGGCUCAACCGUAAAAUUGCAGUUGAUACUGGGAGUCUUGAGUAUAGCAGAGGUUAGCGGAAUUCGUGGUGUAGCGGUGAAAUGCUUAGAUAUCACGAAGAACUCCGAUUGCGAAGGCAGCUGACCAGACUAUAACUGACGCUGAUGCA